rnacentral:lncRNA from 9 species
AGGCGGGCUCGCUGAGACGUAGGGAUAGGAAGGGUUUUCAUUGGAAUGACAGAACAGCGACCAACCAAAACCCUGGGCAAGCCUGGGCAAAGUCCUGGUGGGAGGUGGUAAAAAGUAGACAGGAAUGGGAUAGGAUGAAGCUUAUCAAAACCAAUCAGAAAUCAGGCGGGCGGCCAGGAAAAUUAUGAUUGGAUUAACACUGAAAAGAGACGCGCUAGGACACAAAUUGACGUGAAUAAAAGCCAAUUGAAUGCUGCUUAAACUGUGAGGGCGGGAACCUGGAGUAGGCAGGGGAGAAUUGGCGGCUGCUUCAGUCACUCAGCCCAAUGAGGCAGCGAGGGAAGCCAGGCACCGCCUCCGGCUUGGCCAAUGGGCGUUACUAGAGGCGCCAGUUGUCGGGGAGGUAACAGGGCUGUGCCAAGAGGAGUCCGUCGCCAUUUUGGCCCUCCUCUGGGGACGUCUUUACCGUGAUUAGGUGGCAAGGCUUCAGCAGAGCCCUGCAAUUCAACAAGUGUCAGGGCCGAGCCCCGCGGCGCGUCGCAUUUCUUCCUCGACAUCAGGGCUUGUUUGAGUCUUCACUUAACCGCUUUUAAAAGUACCUCUCAGGUCUCCCCCCUCCGCGGUGGGCGGACUGGCAGGCGGAUGCCUCAGAAUAUGGUGUAACCCCUGUGGGUGCUGGCGCAAGGAGAUCUGGCGAGGGCGCUCAUACAGUUCUAUGUUGCCACUUCAUUAUCUACAACUCGGCACUUCUCCAUAUUACUAUCAUGUCUUAAAGUAUGGAUUCCCGAAAACUGAGGCCUCUACUGCUUUGGGCAAAGCCUGAAGAAGGUCAUGAAAGAAAAAAAUCCUGCCCAUACUUCCAAGACAGCUCAAAUAGCAUAAUCCUCUGCUUCGUUUCCUUCACGGAGAAGCACCGCGAUUCAUCCCAGCCUAGACGGUACCUGGAAGGAAGGCCUUCUUCCAUUUGGUGGCUCUGGUGGUCAUGAAGGUGCUGCAGGAGGAAGAAAGCCUGGGAGACAUGGGAGGCAGGGUCAAGAACACCAUUUGAUUAUUAUUUGAGCUGACCUCGGGCCCAGCCUUCCUGAAUAUUCUCUUUUCUGAAGAGGCCUGCAAGAAGACAGGCCUGACUAUAAACCCAAAUGAGCCCCUGCAGCCUGAAGACCCUCCGGCAAAGAAAAGCAGAGGUGAUUUGAGGCCUGGUGGGGAAGAGAAAGAAACUGCUGAGAGACUAAAUGCCGAGGUCCAUCCGCAUUCUUGGAAGCCAGAGGAAGCAGGCUGGAGACACCCGGGAGGCCCAGAGAGGAGUCUGGACCCCACAGUGAACCAGCUGAGGGCUUCACGGAACCUUUCAUCAGACCCCCAGGGACUCCAGCUCGAAACAAACACAUAAUCAAAACGUUUCCCUCCCUUCCAAAUAUCCAAAGCCCUUAGGCUCCUCAGCUCCCCAGACCUGGAAGGAAGCCGGGCGCUUACUGCCAAGGUACCGUCUCCAGUCACCCCCACCCCCACCUGCACCCGGAACUUUGUACCCCAAGGGAGUGCAGCCUUUAAAAAAAAAAAAGAAAGUUCCUGUUUUAACCAAAAAUGAAGCAGUUGCUCUUUCUCCUUCCUCCCCUGGGACAAGAAGCCCUUGAGUCCCCUCCAGAGUCCAGAUGCAAGGAGAGCGCUACUCCACCCCCAGUUUCCAACUCCCAGCAAGGCGAAUGGCCCCGACCGGCUCAACAGGUCCCUGGAAAGGACUUGCCCUCCCCAGGCAUCCACAGCUGAGGCCGGAGGAAGGAAGGGGAGGGG